GAGGAGCCAUCUGGCAGAAGUCACACCACGAUGGUCUCCAUAUCGAUGGGCCUUAGUAAUCAGUAUAGGAGGAGCCGCCUGGCAGCAGUCACACCACGAUGGUCUCCAUAUCGAUGGGUCUUAGUAAUCAGUAUAGGCGGAUGAGCCUGGCAGCAGUCACACCACGAUGGUCUCCAUAUCGAUGGGCCUUAGUAAUCAGUAUAGGAGGAGCCAUCUGACAGCAGUCACACCAUGACGGUCUCCAUAUCGAUGGGCCUUAGUAAUCAGUAUAGGAGGAGCCGCCUGGCAGCAGUCACACCACGACAGUCUCCAUAUCGAUGGGCCUUAGUAAUCAGUAUAGGAGGAGCCGCCUGGCAGCAGUCACACCACGACAGUCUCCAUAUCGAUGGGCCUUAGUAAUCGGUAUAGGAGGAGCCAUCUGGCAGCAGUCACACCACGAUGGUCUCCAUAUCGAUGGGCCUUAGUAAUCAGUAUAGGCGGAUGAGCCUGGCAGCAGUCACACCACGAUGGUCUCCAUAUCGAUGGGCCUUAGUAAUCAGUAUAGGAGGAGCCAUCUGGCAGCAGUCACACCACGAUGGUCUCCAUAUCGAUGGGCCUUAGUAAUCAGUAUAGGAGGAGCCAUCUGACAGCAGUCACACCAUGACGGUCUCCAUAUCGAUGGGCCUUAGUAAUCAGUAUAGGAGGAGCCGCCUGGCAGCAGUCACACCACGAUGGUCUCCAUAUCGAUGGGCCUUAGUAAUCAGUAUAGGAGGAGCCGCCUGGCAGCAGUCACACCACGAUGGUCUCCAUAUCGAUGGGCCUUAGUAAUCAGUAUAGGAGGAGCCGCCUGGCAGCAGUCACACCACGACAGUCUCCAUAUCGAUGGGCCUUAGUAAUCAGUAUAGGCGGAGGAGCCUGGCAGCAGUCACACCACGACAGUCUCCAUAUCGAUGGGCCUUAGUAAUCAGAUUUCUAUGAAUUAGAUUUAGCUGGAGAACUUCCUUAAGUCACCUCCUCCAUGGUGAGCAGUGAUAUGUCUAUAGCAGAAGUUGCAAGUCAUCAGUAACUGGGUGCCUGGAUUACAAUGGGAACUUUUCUAUAUUUUAAUACUACAACCAUCAAAAGAACACGUAUGUAGACCGUCUGUUUAGAACACGUACAUUUCACACCUUUAACGCCAUCAGCAUCAUGACAAAAAAAAGGGAUCUGCAUUGUAUUCCAGAAAGGGCGCCUCCCUUGUCCUAUAGGCUAUGUCUGGUACUCCCAUUCACUUAAAGGCCGCAAUACCCAAUACAGCCCAUGGACACGAGAGGCGCUGUUCCCGCAAUAAAAUACAGAUCCUUUUUCAGUCUAAAUAACGCCUUUAAAUACUUCAUCCUUUCCCCAGUUCAUAGACCCUUAUUCCUCUGACCCGUACAGCGGAGAAAAAUCUGUACAGGAAGCACAAAGGGCCGAAACACAGCAGUACGCCGACUACGACUACAGAGACUUCUGAACAACCGCAAGCCAUGGGAAUGCUGCGUAGACCGGGUCUAAUGGAGGCGAUUAUCCAGUGAGACCUCCUGAUCCUGCCCAUCAAUGACCCAUCUCCACCCUGUGGCUCUUCAGCUAUUGCAGAACUACAACUCCCAGCUGGAGACCCACAUGUCGGAGCCCACCGCUGUAUCUAACUGUAUCUAACCUGCCCGUAUCUCAAUAGUACCACAGUGUCAUAUAUCGUCGCCCUUGAACCCUAAACCCCUCCACACUUUGUUCUCCAUUCCUAUCCAGGCAUCCACGUUACAGGGGAACCCCAACCUCCAUAUGGAGCUGAAGGGUUCACUUUUUUUGUGCUUUUUAUUAUUAUUUUAUAUAAACUUUAUUAAUGUGGAAAAAAAAAA